AGUGAACGCUGGUGGUAGGCCUAACACAUGCAAGUCGAACGGCAGCACAGUAAGAGCUUGCUCUUACGGGUGGCGAGUGGCGGACGGGUGAGGAAUACAUCGGAAUCUACUUUUUCGUGGGGGAUAACGUAGGGAAACUUACGCUAAUACCGCAUACGACCUACGGGUGAAAGCAGGGGAUCUUCGGACCUUGCGCGAUUGAAUGAGCCGAUGUCGGAUUAGCUAGUUGGCGGGGUAAAGGCCCACCAAGGCGACGAUCCGUAGCUGGUCUGAGAGGAUGAUCAGCCACACUGGAACUGAGACACGGUCCAGACUCCUACGGGAGGCAGCAGUGGGGAAUAUUGGACAAUGGGCGCAAGCCUGAUCCAGCCAUACCGCGUAGGUGAAGAAGGCCUUCGGGCUGUAAAGCCCUUUUGUUGGGAAAGAAAAGCAGCAGGUUAAUACCCCGCUGUUCUGACGGUACCCAAAGAAUAAGCACCGGCUAACUUCGUG
rnacentral:rRNA from 1 species